CGGAUGUUCCCACCUAAAAUAAAAUGGACCCUCUUAUGCGCAUGUGUUCUGUUAUAUAUGUGUGUGUAUUGGGAGUGCUCUUUGCUUACUCUCAUUGGCCUAGCAAGGCAACCAUUAUAUAUUGGUGUUGCUAUUUGUUUGCCCUGUUAUUUAAAAGCUACGAGAUCAGUAACAAUGCGUUUUAAACCGGACAAGGUUGGAGGUCCAUGGGGAGGAGAUCAUGGCAACUUUCGCGACAUCCAGGUGCCUCCCUACAGGCUGCUUCGCCUGACAAUCUAUAGCCAAGAGAAUGUAUUAAUCAGCUCGAUCUCCUUCUCAUACAUUGGCUGUGAUGGCUGCGUGUACCAUGAGCACGAUUGGGGUUUUGUCAGAGAAACCGAAGCGCAUCAGCAUAAGGCAAUGGCUGCCUCCAAUUGUGGAGGAUUUUCAUGGACCGAAGAAAAAUC